AUUGGGGCAAUGUCUACAUAGGAGUU
rnacentral:piRNA from 1 species